rnacentral:rRNA from 1 species
AUACGGAGGGGGCUAGCGUUGUUCGGAAUUACUGGGCGUAAAGCGCGCGUAGGCGGCUUGGUCAGUCAGGUGUGAAAUCCCGGGGCUCAACUCCGGGGCUGCACCUGAUACUACCUCGCUAGAGCACGGUAGGGGCGAGUGGAAUUCCCGGUGUAGCGGUGGAAUGCGUAGAUAUCGGGAAGAACACCGGUGGCGAAGGCGGCUCGCUGGGCCGAUGCUGACGCUGAGGCGCGAAAGCGUGGGGAGCAAACAGGAUUAGAAACCCUUGUAGUCC